AAGCUUAUGCUCUGAAUACAUUAGCAUGGAAUAACGCGAUAGGAGUCUUGUCCUAUUGUGUUGGCCUUUGGGAUCGGAGUAAUGAUUAAUAGGGACUAUUGGGGGCAUUCAUAUUUCAUUUUCAGAGGUGAAAUUCUUGGAUUUAUGAAAGAUGAACCACUGCGAAAGCAUUUGCCAAGGAUGUUUUCAUUAAUCAAGAAUGAAAGUUGGGGGCUCAAAGACAAUCAGAUACCGUCCUAUUCUCAACCAUAAACGAUGUCGACUAGGGAUCGACGAAUGUUUCUCUAAGGACUCUGCCAACACCUUCUGAGAAAUUAGAGUGUUUGGGUUUCGGGGGGAGUAUGGUCGCAAGGAUAAAACUUAAAGGAAUUGAUGGAAGGGCACCACCAGGAGUGGAUCGUGCGACUUAAUUUGACUCAACACAGGAAAACUUACCAGGUCUAGACAUAGUAAGGAUUGACAGAUUAAGAGCUCUUUCUUGAUUUUAUGGGUGGUGGUGCAUGGUUGUUUUGAGUUGGUGGAGCGAUUUGUCUGGUUAAUUCCGAUAACGAAUGAGACCUCAGCCUGCUAACUAGCUACACGGAGGUUCCCCUUCGCAG
rnacentral:ncRNA from 1 species